UAGAAUGGGAAAAGUAAUAUGUUUGCAGAUAUGGUUGGUUUGCAGAUAUGGUUGCAACCAUAUCUGCAAACAUAUUACUUUUCCCAUUCUA
rnacentral:miRNA from 1 species